rnacentral:rRNA from 1 species
UACGAAGGGGGGCUAGCGUUGUUCGGAAUUACUGGGCGUAAAGCGCACGUAGGCGGAUAUUUAAGUCAGGGGUGAAAUCCCAGAGCUCAACUCUGGAACUGCCUUUGAUACUGGGUAUCUGGAGUAUGGAAGAGGUGAGUGGAAUUCCGAGUGUAGAGGUGAAAAUUCGUAGAUAUUCGGAGGAACACCAGUGGCGAAGGCGGCUCACUGGCCCGGUACUGACGCUGAGGUGCGAAAGCGUGGGGAGCGAUCCGG